CUCAACUUUUUUUUUAUUAUGAUUAUUAUGACGAGUGAACAGAGCUCAAAGCUGGUAUAGCUCAGCAGAAAGCGGCGUGGAAAUUGGAGGCAUUUGAUCAAGCAGAACAGGGUCUGGUCUCAUCUUAACUGCUUCUGAUCUCCUGAUUGUAAAUCUGGGGCAGAAUGUGAGUGAGGGGUGACUCUCUCGACCAGACGGUUCAAUCCCACAAUGCAAGAAGCGGUGCCCUCUGGUUGCUUGUCAUCCUGACACUUGGGACGCAUCGCUGGAUACAAGGAGAGACGAGACACUUGCAUGUGUGUGUCUGUGUGUGCGUGCGUGAAGUUGUGUCUCGUCUCCGUUUUUGUUUUGCUCUUUUCUGGUCAUGAGACCCGGAAGUUUUUUUUUUUUUUUUAAAUCACAUGGCAGAGAGAGAUAAUAAAAACAGAAAAAUGGCGACAGUCACGUUGUGGCGAGUCUAUGCUGCGUCAUUAGAUAAUCUUCAUGCAAAGAUCGCUUAGAACAAAGAGAAGAGGGGACAGGAGCCCCGGCCGCAAAGGUGGGAUCCUGGCACUGGUUCCUUUCCGUCAAGCGAUUGUAAAUAUAGCCUGGAUCUUGUUUACAUGAAGCAUCCAGCAGGAGGAGCCUGGGAGGAGGAGGAGGAGGAAGAUGGAGGAGUCUCCACGGCUGGCUGGGGUGAGCUUCCCAAAGGGGAAGGAGGAGCCGAGGCGGGGCUGGAGUCUCACUCAAGCAGCCUGGAAGCUGCCUGCAGCAGUUAGAAUUCAUCUAUCAGACUGUUAACUCAGCCGCUAAACAGAAGUUUAAGAGGGGAAGGGAGUCAUAAAGACUAAAAGGUAAGUAGUGGCAGAAGGAAUCAAGCAGAACGUAGAAAAAGAAUGGAGAUGAUUUUAUAAACAAUUCCCAUUACUGAAGUUUCCUUGAUGGGAGAGUCUCAUUAUUGUUGAACGUACCUGUUUCCUACCUCACUUACAAGUGAAGAAGCAAAUCUUUAAAAACUAAUAAAGAAGAAUUUAAAGCCAUAGAAAAUAUUACUUUAAUAACUGUCCUGGCACACUAGAGUCUUUCACUUCUAGGUACUGUAAACUGCACUGUAGGCAGGACCUCCUGCCAUAUUAAGAUUCCAGUAACUUUCUUAAGGAGGAAAGCCACUUACCCAGUAGCCAAAAGAUCAAUUAUAUCCCUGUAACUGCAGUUUUCUGCUCUUAAGAACACACACACACACACACACAGACACAAAUAUUUGUAAUAAAGGUAUUCGCCCCCGCCAUUUUUCCUAGCUUUAGAUAAGACACACCUUUUCAUAUUUAGUAUCGGAGUUAGCUGUAAAAAUCAGAACUAUAAUUCCAAGCUACAUGCUAGGAGAAAAGAAAAAAAAAGUUGAAUUUAUGCGGGGGAGGGGAGGGUAAAUAGCCAAUUUAGUUUUUAGACCCUAAUCAAAAGGAGUGUUGUUUAAUUCAGAACACUCAAGAAACAUGGUAAGUUACCGACCCCAAAAGAAGAGAGUAGUGGAAAUGGGGUGGGGGAAAAACAAGCAAAAAUACACACCGAAAUAUGCCCUUGAGUAAAUUCAUGUGUACCACAUUGAGAUCAGAGGGACUACUCCUGAAUGUUUUCAGGAUCUAUGUUACCUGACUGAGGAAAACUUUUUUUACUCUAAAAAAAGAAUGUAAGUGUUAAAAAGUGACACGGCAGAGUAAAUAUAUCACCUCAUCAUCAGCAAAAUGUAAAUAUAUCCAGAGCGUGCAGCCCUUGUGAUGCUAAUAGAAUGAUUUAAUGACAUUUUUGUACCUUUAUAUUGUUAUUUUUUUUACAUAUUUGAAAGCUAGGAAACACUUAUUUUUUUAUAUAAAUCCUUAAUAAAAGGUGUGCUCGUAGGUACCUUAUGGUUACUAUUUUCAGAAAAUGGCAGAUUAUUCUAAGGAUGCUGAUAUAUUUGCCAUCAACUGCAAAUUUAUAUCUUAAACAUUUUUGUACAUAUUUGCCCAUUCAUAUUUGCCUCCUGGAACAAUAUUGUAUAACGUAUUGACUGGUCCCUUGUUUAUGUAACAUAUGUUCAUAAUUUGUUUUAAAAAUGCGCAAAUAUUUUUUCCAGGAAACUGUUUUUCCACAUUUGUCUCUUUAGUGCCCUCUUGUGUUAAAAAUAUGCAAGAGACCAUUUUGGUAGUACUUGAGCCCAGCUGAAUUUUAAGCAUUUCUGAAUUUUAAAAGCAUUUUAUUUAACUUAAGGAAAUACAUAUCAGUUUAGUUGGUUAUUUAUUCCGUUAUCCAUAAAGUUCUUGCUCUACCCAUCAGAAAUAUUUAAGUACCACUUACACCAAUUAAGUCCAUCAAAUUCUUAAAUGGAACAUUAUGUGAAAUGUAAAAUAUAUUUCUCAUUUACAUUGUGAAAUCUGAUGAAACAUUUUAAUAUGCUGAUCAUUACAGAACUGAUUCACUAGAUUAGAUGCCUUUAUUCAGAGAGACUACCAUGACUUUUUAAGCAGUACUUCAAACAUGAACCAGAGAAAAUUUUUUGAUAAACUUCUAUCAUUGUUUGCAGUGUAAUUCUUGAUUUCAGCAGUUUUCAUUUAGACCUCAGUGUAUGGCCCAAAUCAACUAUCACACAGCCUGAACAAAGAAGCCCAUCAGACAGCAACUCAACUCCAGGAUCAUUUCCACAUCCAGUGCUUGUUACUAUUUUGGAUUUGAUCCUGCUCCCACUGAAAUCAAGAGCAAAACUUCAAAGGGAGGAGGAUUGGGCCCCAAAGGACCCGAGUGCUGCAAACAUACCUGUUGGAACUUGAGCUCAUCUGCAAGUGUUUGCAGAAUGGAGGCCUGAGAUGGUACUGUGAAUCCCACAAGACAGAAACCUUGUCUUUUUUGUGUGUGUCAAGGUCCUAGCACUUUCAGUGUAGAACAUAAUACUUAAGUUUCAAAGAUAUUAUAUCCAUAUAAUUAACUAAACUAUUUGAUAAUGGGUCCAGAUUCUCCACCAGGUUAAAUUUGUGCAGCUUCAUUGUCUUAAGUGGAACUAUGCCAAUUAUACCAGUUGAGGAUCUUGCCUAUGUAGUUUAUGUAAGGGAACAGCACUCUACUUCAAAUGCUGAUUGAAACCAAAAAAGCAGGAAAAAUACCUUCAUUCCAUCAGUGAUUAUCUCCAUGGAAUGAGUAAGUUAUUUCCCCCCUCCCCAGUUAAAUACAGCCUUCGGUAGACUUGGAUUGUGCAGCUCUGAAAAAUACUUUAAAGUUGUAUUGAAUUUAACUGCAGUGAUACCAGUUAACCAGGUAAUUUUCAAAGAGCGGAUAAAUUAAACUGAAGUUUCAGAACACUUUAUUCAUUUCCACAUGUAUUUAUUAAACAUGCAUUAAAUCCAUCAUCCAUGUCCUUGAAGAAUGAACAUCUUUAUUUUUGAAACAUGCACAAGAGGAAACACUAUGUAAGCACACAAUAAAGCAAGCACUAUUCUCUCUGAGACACUAACAGACAUAAUGACCGACAGGCUGCCCUGGCUCAGUUAUCACAGUGCUGAUGCUGUCUAUUCUAAAGGUACAGUACUGUGAUAACUGAAGGAUGGCAGCCAUCUUAGCUUCACAGGAACCCAACGAGCAGAUAUCAGAGAAGAUGUCCUUAUUUUCUGCAUACCGGACAUGCUUUGUUUAUGAAACUGACCAUAUGCUAGAGCAGAAAGAUGCUUGUUGUAAGGGUACAUCUUAACUCACUUGAAG